GACGAACGCUGGCGGCGUGCUUAACACAUGCAAGUCGAACGGAAAGGCCCUGCUUUUGUGGGGUGCUCGAGUGGCGAACGGGUGAGUAACACGUGAGUAACCUGCCCUUGACUUUGGGAUAACUUCAGGAAACUGGGGCUAAUACCGGAUAGGAGCUACUGCUGCAUGGUGGGGGUUGGAAAGUUUCGGCGGUGGGGGAUGGACUCGCGGCUUAUCAGCUUGUUGGUGGGGUAGUGGCUUACCAAGGCUUUGACGGGUAGCCGGCCUGGGAGGGUGACCGGCCACAUUGGGACUGGGAUACGGCCCAGACUCCUACGGGAGGCAGCAGUGGGGAAUAGUGCACUAUGGGCGGAAGCCUGAUGCAGCAACGCCGCGUGCGGGAUGACGGCCUUCGGUUUGUAAACCGCUUUCGCCUGUGACGAAGCGUGAGUGACGGUAAUGGGUAAAGAAGCACCGGCUAACUACGUG
rnacentral:rRNA from 1 species